UGCAGAGAACGAGACUCCAAAACUAAUAAUCAUGGGCUCCUGUAUAUUCUGAUUAGACUGUCAUUCUACAUGAUGGUUUUCUUGCUCAUUUUCCUCAUCCAUUUUUGGUGCCAUGCAAAAAGGAAUGUACGUCAAGAAGAAGGCAGUGAGUGUCAUCUGAGUAGCACGAGAAACUGAAACUGGAGGAAUGCAGGUCACAAUCCAUUGAGGGAAGCCAAGGCAGGAACAUGGAUGAAAGAACUGAAACAGAUGCAUUGAAGAUUCUCCACAUACUUGACUGUUCUUAAUGGCUUGGUCAGCCUGCAUUACUCUGCAAUUUGUGAUGACCUGGCAAGAAGUGAAUCUACUCACAGAAGUCUAGGCCUUCCCUCAUCAACCUUGAAACAAGAAAAUUCCCAACAGAUUCCCUCAGGCAAUUUGUGUGGAUGCAUAUUAUCAAUUGAUAGGCCCAAAUGAAUAUAUCUUGUUUCAAACUGACAAAAAUAAAUAAGUAAAUAACUGGGACACUA